UCCGGUUUGUCACCGGCAGUCUGGCGUGAGUCCCCAACUUAAUGCUGGCAACACGCCACGGGGGUUGCGCUCGUUGCGGGACUUAACCCAACAUCUCACGACACGAGCUGACGACAGCCAUGCAGCAUCUGUGGUGCACCCUCGAAGGUCACACGUUUCCGUGCGCUUGCAGCACCAUGUCAAGCCCAGGUAAGGUGGGGAUGACGUUCCAGUAUCGGAA
rnacentral:misc_RNA from 1 species